AGGAAAUGUUCAAGAGAGAUUGUCCUGGACUGAAAGGAACCAGCCUCAGCUAGAUCCUGUCACUUAAACACAAAUGCCAUAAAAAUGUGUUCUUAGGACAAUGAGAGCUAUGGGUGUCGUUAUAGAUAGUAUGGUUGAACUAAAGAGAGCCCUUCUUUUUGUUUUAUUUUCUUUAUUUUUUUUUGUUGUUGUUCUUGAAGACAAGGUUUCUAUGUGUGUCCUUGGCUAUCCUGGGAACGUCCUCUGUAGAGCAGGCUGGUCUUGAACUCAAAGAUCCACCUGUCUCUCCCUUCAGAGUUCUGGACUUAAAGGUGUAUCAUCACUGCAAGAGAAAGAGAAUCAUCUUAUUCUUCCAAGAUGCAUUCUGAGCACUUAGGAAUGAGGUACAUGCUCUACACGUCCAGAAAACAAGAGAAGUGGGGGAAAAGUACACAUGAACAUGGCACCAAAGACAAAUAUAAUCACGAACAGUCAAUGAAUGGGAAAGAUGGUGCAGGGCUGGAAAUGGUGUGGGGACUAUUCUGAUGACUGAACAAAGACAGCACACACUGACUCAGACAGCCACUCUAUAUUCAGGAGAAAAUCUGACUGUUAGCCCUCAGGGGCCAUGGCAUGCUUCAUCCCCAGUGCAGAGGAGCCUGCCUGAGCUUUCUAAACUGAAUCCAAGAAAGGCAAGUUUGCAAACACAGACUCUCCUGGUGCCAGCAGCUGAUCUUCAGGGAAGAGGGAG
rnacentral:lncRNA from 1 species